GUCAGAAAGUAGAAGAAACCCAUGUCGUUCGUCAAAAUUUAAUCUCGUGGUAUUACAAUCAUCAUAGCGGCCAAAAAAUAUAAUAUUAAUGACAUCUCAGGAAAAAAGGCCAAAAAUACUAAUCCUUUCGGCAUAUUAACCCUUCUCAACUCAGAAUUCAGACGAGGAGAAAAAUUGGAUGAGAUUUCCAUAAGUGAGAUGACAAUGGCAGUUUCUACUAAAUCUACGAACAAGUGUCAAAUCAUGAAGGAUGGGUGUUUGUUGCGGAGCUGCUCCUGGAGGAGAUCUGGCAUUGCUGAGUCGCAGUUCAAUGCAGUUGGUCCAGUAGCAGGAAGAUUUAGCAGUCAUCGUACCUUUAACACGUCGCGAUAAAUCGCAAAUUUCUAUUCCAGGGAAGAAACUUUCAUCUAUUGAAAGAGAUAGAGAGAGUAUGGUGUCAUCAUAUCUUUAACACGACGAAAAAAUUCGCAAUAGUGUUUUUCAGUCCAUGUCCAAAAAAAACAACCUGAAGGACAGGAAGGAUGUGGAAGAAGAAAAGUGGUCCCUGCAUACUUUUUUUUAUAAAAUUUUUUGUUUUCUUUUUUCUUUUUUUUUAUAAGAUUUUUUUUAAC